rnacentral:misc_RNA from 1 species
AAGUCGUAACAAGGUUUCCGUAGGUGAACCUGCGGAAGGAUCAUUAUCGUAUCUAAGGCGCGCGAGGGUGCGCCCUGAUCCGGGCCUAACCGGCUCGUGCAGCGGGUCGCCUUCCGUGUCCAACCUUUACAAACCCACUGUGCACCUUCACGGCCGAGGGCGCUGGCGAGAGCCUGCGUCUGAAGCCGCAUACACAAACCCCUAGUUUAAAAGAAUGAACGCGACCCUGUCGUCGCCUAACAAACGAAACAACUUUCAACAACGGAUCUCUUGGCUCUC